AUUGAUUUAUCACUGUGUGAUUCAGUGGAAUUACAGAAGAGUGAUCUGGAUGUGUGGUAUGAAGUGAAAGGUGACAGAUUGCAAUUUAUGAAAAAUAACGGCUUCAUUAUUUCUCCCUGUUUGAUCAACUGUCUCAACAGAAGAGUAGCGAGGAUGGAGGAUGAUGAUAAAAACCAAAACACGAAUCUAUCAUCAACAAAUCUGUUGAUGAUAGAUUCUGUGGUUUUAAUGUACAAAACCAGACGGAGUACACAGUCUUUAAAGUUGAAAUGAAAUUGUUCAAAUGUAUUUGAAUCAUCUCUCUGAAAGACAUUGCUGAUCGUUAUGUGUUUUUCCAGUUUAUCAGCAUCCAUGGUUCAUUUCAGUCUACAGUUGUGCUCAUAAGUAUACAUACCCACCGAACAAUAGACGUCUAUUAGACGUCUAGAUUUUUUUAGACCUAAUUUCAACCGUCUAGAUGCCGUCUGUUUUUACACAGAAUUUAGACGUUGAAGUUUAAUCAAUUAUUCUAUAACUAUUUAUUUAAAAAAACAACUGUAAGGUGCAUAGCUAGUAUCUAAAUACUGAACUAAAGUAAUUAUGUUAGCCGUUGAGUGAUAUUCAGUAUAGUAUAAAUAUAUCCGAGAUUUAGACGUUUAAAUCUCUACCGCAUUUCAACGUCUAGAUAUACACCGAAUCCAGACAACUGAAUUUAAUCCAUCAUUCAAACGUUGUUAAUUUAAAAAACAACUGUAAGGUGCAUAGCUAAUCUCCAAAUACUAAACUAAUAUAAUUCUGAUAGCCGUUGAGCGAUAUACAGUCUAGUCUAAAUAUAUCCGAGAUUUAGACGUCUAAAUCUCUACUGCAUUUCAACGUUUAGACAUAGACCGAAUAUAGACAACAGAAUUUUAUCCAUCAUUUAAUAUUUUUUUAUUUAAAACAAUAAAUGCAUGUUGCACAAAUGAUCUCCAAAUACUGAACUAAAUCAUUUAUGAUAGCCAUAAGCGAUAUCGCUUAUAGACCGAAUUUCAACAAAUUAAUUUUAUCCAAAGUUAUUUAUUUAAAACAAUAACUGCAUGUUGCAGAACUGAUCUCUUGAUAUUGGACUAAAAUCCUUUUAUUAGACAUAAUCGCUAUAAACUAAAGUCUAUAUGUAGACGUCUAAUAUUCCGCUUUUCAACGCCGACACCAUUCAGAGGUAUGUAUUUUAAAUCUUCGGAAAAUAAAAGAAACAAUAAUCUAAUGGAAUAUAGCCAGCUCUUUCCAUGUGCAGUGCCAUCUUGGCUUCUAUGUUGUCAAGAUGCAGCCACUUUAUUGGUGGAGCACGCUCACGUGACGCACCGUGCAACCACUUCCUGGCAAAAUAUUAUUCCGCUCAGAGAAGUAGUCCAUGAUAAAACUUAUCGCCAUAGCCGCUUUGCCACGAUCAACGACAAAAAUAAUUGGUCGCUCUGUAAGGCUACGCUUUGUAUUCGUAUGGAGAUCACAUGAUCAUAACAUGAAAAAUGCUUCACUUUAUGGACAGCACAACUUCCGAGCAUGCUUCUGACAGAGGAAUUAUGCGCACAUGCAGUCGUUGGUUUGCAAAGUUUGAAGAAGACACGGAGGAAAAAGUUUCGAAGAAGUAAAUUUGACCUCAUUCAGCGGUUAAGAGCUCAUUCCUCUGUAGGUCAGCGGCCCAAAACUCCAAGGAUUAAAGAGAGUGUUUGCAGUCGGUUUCCAAAUGCCACAGAAGAACAAGUCGGAGCAGCUCUCGGUGAUCACCUAAAACAGACGCCAGCUCGAUGUGGUGGGGGGGCUACAGGAAAGACAGAACUUCCCC